rnacentral:rRNA from 1 species
CCCUUAGACGUUCUGGGCCGCACGCGCGCUACACUGACGAAGGCAACGAGCUUUCCUUUACCGAAAGGUGCGGGUAAUCUUUUGAAACUUCGUCGUGCUGGGGAUAGAUCCUUGCAAUUUUUGAUCUUAAACGAGGAAUUCCUAGUAAGCGCAAGUCAUCAACUUGCGUUGAUUACGUCCCUGCCCUUUGUACACACCGCCCGUCGCUACUACCGAUUGAAUGGUUUAGUGAGGCCUUCGGAUCCGCGACUCGUUUUGUGGAGAAGUUGGACAAACUCAGUCAUUUAGAGGAAGUAAAAGUCGUAACA